rnacentral:rRNA from 1 species
UGAACGAGCGACGCCUCGUGCGGGAUGAAGGGCUUCGGCUGUAAACCGCUUUAUCUGGGAAGAAUGCUCCGUCGUGAACGGGAGAGGGACGGUACCAGAGGAAUAAGCCCCGGCUAACUCCGUGCCAGCAGCCGCGGUAAGACGGAGGGGGCGAGCGUUGUUCGGAAUUAUUGGGCGUAAAGGGCUCGUAGGCGGACCGGCAAGUCUGGCGUGAAAUCUCCACCGCUCACCGGGGAGGGGUCGCUGGAAACUACUGGUCUGGAGUUCGGUAGAGGACCGUGGAAUUGCGCAUGUAGCGGUGGAAUGCGUAGAUAUGCGCAAGAACACCUGUGGCGAAGGCGGCGGUCUGGGCCGAUACUGACGCUGAGGAGCGAAAGCCAGGGGAGCAAACGGGAUUAGAUACCCCGGCAGUCCUGGCUGUAAACGUUGGAUACUAGGUGUGGGGGGUAUCGACCCCUCCCGUGCCGCAGUUAACACAUUAAGUAUCCCGCCUGGGGAGUACGGCCGCAAGGUUG